AGUCGCACGAAGGUUUCGGCCUUAGUGGCGGACGGGUGAGUAACGCGUAGGUAUCUAUCCACGGGUGGGGGAUAACAGCGGGAAACUGCUGCUAAUACCGCAURAUGCCYGAGGGCCAAAGGCGCAAGUCGCCUGUGGAGGAGCCUGCGUACGAUUAGCUUGUUGGUGGGGUAACUGCCUACCAAGGCGACGAUCGUUAGCUGGUCUGAGAGGAUGAUCAGCCACAUUGGGACUGAGACACGGCCCAAACUCCUACGGGAGGCAGCAGUGGGGAAUAUUGGACAAUGGGCGAAAGCCUGAUCCAGCAAUGCCGCGUGUGUGAAGAAGGUCUUAGGAUUGUAAAGCACUUUCGACGGGGACGAUGAUGACGGUACCCGUAGAAGAAGCCCCGGCUAACUUCGUG
rnacentral:rRNA from 1 species